rnacentral:rRNA from 1 species
GACGAACGCUGGCGGCGUGCUUAACACAUGCAAGUCGAACGGUGAAGGGACUGGUUUUGCUGGUCCUGGAUGCGUGGCGAACGGGUGAGUAACACGUGAGUAACCUGCCCCCUUCUUCUGGAUAACCGCAUGAAAGUGUGGCUAAUACGGGAUAUUCUGGGUCUGUCGCAUGGUGGGCCUGGGAAAGAUUGCGCCUUUUUUGGUGUGUUUGGUGGGGGAUGGGCUCGCGGCCUAUCAGCUUGGUGGUGGGGUGAUGGCCUACUAAGGCGGUGACGGGUAGGCGGCCUGAGAGGGUGGACGGUCACACUGGGACUGAGACACGGCCCAGACUCCUACGAGAGGCAGCAGUGGGGAAUAUUGCACAAUGGGCGCAAGCCUGAUGCAGCGACGCCGCGUGAGGGAUGGAGGCCUUCGGGUUGUGAACCUCUUUCGCCAGUGAAGCAGGCCUGCCUCUUUUUGUGGGUGGGUUGACGGUAGCUGGAUAAGAAGCGCCGGCUAACUACGUG